GGAAGAGUUAGAAGGGUAUUUCAAAUCACCCCAAAUAAAAAACAAUAGCAUUCCCUGCCCAUUCCAUUUUAUCCUGAAAAAACUCCCAAACAAUACCUUGGAUUUUCAGACUUCCCAAUCCACCGCGCCUUUGCCUUCUCCGAUUUUUCGUUGGAGGGGCAUCUGAUGGCUAACUCUCGAGGGCGUGAUUUCCUGUUCUGUCACUUGCGUGGUAUAAUGUUGACGGUCCCUUCUACAAAGUAUACACAGUGCUCGUUGUGCAAGACUAGGCGAGAUACUAAUGGUGAAGCCCUCUAAGCUCCUCUUCUGAUUGGUUUGCAUGCUGGAUUUGUAAGUAAGUUUCAAUACUUUUGAAAUUACUGGAGUGCCAGUAGGGUCAUUUCAGCGUCCUAAAUAUCCAUGUUUCCUUUCAAUCAUCAAAUCAUAUAACCAUGCUCUUUUUUUCCGUGAUUUCAAUCUAUCAAAAGUGCUGUCCUCUAGUUAAAUAUAGCUAAAUCUAAGCUGUUAUCAACCAGGCUAUCCGUUUGUGUUUGAAAUCACAAUCCACAAUAUUCUGUUGACAGAGCAUAUGCUUGGCAAUCGACGUGUCCCCCGCCCCCCGGUUUUUUGGAAAUCACAUGUUGCCUAAUAAAUGCCUUUUUAAUGUGAACUUUGUCACUAUGCUUCAGAACUGGAGGACUUCUUAUCUACUUAUUUUACUGAUAGGUUCUUGAUCAUUCUUUAUUGAGAGUGAUUUGGUGCUUAUGCCAUCGUGCGCUUAGAUUGAGUUUCGGUAAAACUUUGUUCUUGACCAUUUGAUGUUUUCGCCAGAUGUUUGCCAUGCUUUCACGUGGAUUGUAAGUCUAAUGCACAAGAAGAAGUUGGUUGCAAAUGGAGACAAAUUUACAGCACCAACUCGUGAAAUCCGUGUGCCGGUGUGAAGUGUGUAUGGGUCUGGGUGCCUGCACAUUUGGAAUAUUUAGCUAUAGAAUAUUUUUGAGCAUUAAUUGUAACUAUAACUCAAUUCACCUGAUCUCUAUACGCUAACUGAUUGCCCCUGUUUCCGGAUAUCAGCGGAAAAGAAAUGUGUUACACAAUUUCUGCUAAGGUAUGAUUUGUUGAUUUAAAUAAGCUGCAGAUCGUAUUUCUAUUCAUUGCAUUCGAAUACAUGUUUUCUUGCGACCAGCAUAUGGUUACAACGAAUGAAAUCAUAAUUCCACGAUGUGGACGCAGGUUGGGGAUUUGAUAUCAAUAUAACAAUCUUUGUGAUAUUUCAUAUUAUUAUGUGCCCUUGUGUUGGCAGGAUAUCAGAACGGAGCUUGAAAUUGUUAUAAUGGAAGAGCAGAAGGUGCAAUUCUCAAAGGUGAACAAGAAAUGUGAGAGAUGUGGUCAAGGGGAGGCUAACUUUUAUAGCAGACAGAUGCGAUCAGCAGAUGAAGGGCAUACUACCUUU